GCACCGCGCGGUUACGCCGAAACGUCCCAUAAUGCAACGCGCGGGUCUCACUUAUGAACCGCGCGUUGCAUUAUGGGACGUUUCGGCGUAACCGCGCGGUGCAUUA
rnacentral:pre_miRNA from 1 species